UUAAUUGAAACCAAAUAGAGGUAUAUCACUGUUAAUGGUAAAAUUGAAAUUAAUGCUUUCCAAUUAAG
rnacentral:tRNA from 1 species